rnacentral:rRNA from 1 species
GGGCUACACACGUGCUACAAUGGACAAUACAAAGGGCAGCGAAACCGCGAGGUCAAGCAAAUCCCAUAAAGUUGUUCUCAGUUCGGAUUGUAGUCUGCAACUCGACUACAUGAAGCUGGAAUCGCUAGUAAUCGUAGAUCAGCAUGCUACGGUGAAUACGUUCCCGGGUCUUGUACACACCGCCCGUCACACCACGAGAGUUUGUAACACCCGAAGCCGGUGGAGUAACCUUUUAGGAGCUAGCCGUCGAAGGUGGGACAAAUGAUUGGGGUGAAGUCGUAACAAGGUAGCCGUAUCGGAAGGUGCGGCUGGAUCACCUCCUUUCUAAGGA